AACCUUCCCCACCCAGAAGAGCUAGUUUUGCCAUAGAGGUUUAUUUAGCCCAGUAGUUCACAACCUUGGGUCCUCAGAUGUUCCUGGACUGCAGCUCCCAGAAAUCCUGGCCAGCCCAGCUAGUAGGGAAGCCUCCUGGGAAUUGUAGUCCAAGAAUAUCUGGGAACCCAAGUCUGGGAACUACUGAUGCAGCGAAACCAUGCCCAUCACUACUAAUUACGAUUCCUUCAACUCAGAUACAAGAAUAAUUCCUGUGCCAUGGUGGAACGAAUUGUUUGGAAUUCAGGAUGAAAGCCUGACCGAAUAAACUUCGCAGAAUUACCGUAUAUUUCCGUGUAUAAGACGCCCCCAUGUAUAAGACGCCCACCACUUUUCUAACCCCAAAUUAAGAAAUCUAAGUGGGCUUAGCAAGUGCAAGGGGAAAGGGAUCAAAGUGCUGCAGGAUCGCUUUGAUCCCUGCUUUUCCCUCCAUUUGUUUUUGUUCUCUCUUCAGCUUACUUCCAUGUAUAAGACGACCCUCAAUUUUUACUCUAAAGAUUUUAGAGAAAAGUAUAGUCUUAUACACAGGAAAAAUAUGGUAACCGUUCGUCAGCAGCUCCUCAACAAAAGGGGAUAAGCGCUGUGUGGCCAAAAUGCCUUGACUGCUCAGAAAGAUUGCAUCCAGAGGACUUGAGGGUACAUAAUCCAGGCUCGGAGAUGUUUUGCUGACGGGUCCUUCAGCUGUCGGCUCAUUACUCAUGCUCCCCACCGGCCUUUCUGGCCUCGCCUGGGGGCCAUUGUCUUGUGUUUGUGACAUCACAGCUGGUUGCUAUGGGAGCCGGUGAUGAUGUCACAGAGGGAGAAUUAGCACCUAUUAAUGCGAACAAGCGCAGGGAGGACAUGAAUAAUGGGAGAAAGAGCCGGCUUGGACACAAAUUGGUCGGGAACGUUUUUGGACAGGAAAACGGCUUGAGAGGUGGAGCCAGCGCUGAUCUGGGAUGGAAGAAUUCAAGGAGUGACUGUAGUGAUGGAAAAUCAAUUCAUUUCUCUUUCUUCCACUGGCUAAUUUUCUGCGUUUUGGCACCGUUCGGAUCGGGAAUGAAUGGAAAACAGAUCCUUGCCCAUCCUUUGGGAAUGGGCAAAGACAUCCGUCUUACAUCCUUCUACAUUUCACUUUUCCAGAUUGGGGUAUUUUUCUAAGAGGUGAACAAAAAAUAACCUUCCCCCCUAUCCCUAGACAGAGGGAAUUCCUCAUGGGCAAAUCCUUGGUGAGCAGAAGGCACAUCCUAAUUUUGCACCUUGUUGGUUGAUCUUUGGAACCACUGUCAAUGGCGGCAGACGCAAUCUUGUCCCCCUGUGAGCUUCCCAUUCUUAUCUGAUUUUGGAAGUGAAGCCAGGUCUAGUUAGUAUAGGACAUUCUUAGCUGUUAGAGCAGUCAACCUCUUAACUGUUAGAGUAGUACAACAACGGAAGCCAUGACCUCAGAGGGAGGUGGUGGGAACUCCAACACUGGAGGCAUUCAGAUCCUCUUUCAGAUCUGCUUUGAUUUGGAUGCCUGCCUUGGGCAGGGGGUUGGACUCGAUGGCCUUAUAGGGUCCCUUCCAACUCCAUCAUUCUAGAAUUCUAGGAUUCCGGGUAACAUCAAGGAUCUCCCGAUAGGGCUUGAACGUCAAAAUAUCCUGCCCAAAGCCCUAGAUCGUUUUCUUCCAUUCCAAGUUGAUAACAUCGAACUUCUUACAUUUCUCUAUGACAGUGGUCCUCAACCUUGGGCCUCCAG
ensembl:lncRNA